GACGAACGCUGGCGGCGUGCUUAACACAUGCAAGUCGAACGGUGAACGCGUGAGCUUGCUCCCUCCGCAACAGGCGAGCACGUGUGUGUAACACGUGUGCACUCCCCUCCACACUCUGGUAUAUUCAGGAGAAACGACGUCUAAUACCGGAUACGACCCUGCAGGGCAGUCUCUCCGGGUGGAUAGCACGUCGGUUGGGGAUGGGCUCGCGGCCUAUCAGCUUGUUGGUGGGGUAGCGGCUCACCAAGGCGGCGACGGGUAGCCGGCCUGAGAGGGUGACCGGCCACAUUGGGACUGAGAUACGGCCCAGACUCCUACGGGAGGCAGCAGUGGGGAAUAUUGCACAAUGGGCGGAAGCCUGAUGCAGCAACGCCGCGUGCGGGAUGACGGCCUUCGGGUUGUAAACCGCUUUUGGCUGGGAAGAAGCGAGAGUGACGGUAACUGGAGAAGAAGCACCGGCUAACUACGUG
rnacentral:rRNA from 1 species